rnacentral:rRNA from 1 species
CACUGUAUAUAUACCCCAUGACAUCCUAACAAUAAAACUAUUUAUAUUCGGACUAAAUUGGCUUUAAGUCAUCUAGUUAAUCAAAUAGUACAGCCCACCUGACCAACUUUUACUAACUGUAUAGAUCGGACUAAGGAAAGCACUAACUCCACAAAUGGCCGUCUAUAUUACUAAACAUCGAUUACACCAAUACAACAAUAUAAAAUGUAAAGAUCAUGAAACCAAGUGAACAUCUCACGAACACGUCCUUUUCUAUAUCAUACCUAUUCUCAACCUACUCCAACGGACUAUCCAAAAGUUCACUAAUGUAAAGUCCCCACUUACGUAAGUAACUAAAACGAACAGUUGUAUUGUUGCCGUUACUAUUCUACGCAACGGGAACACUUUGAACAUACUUAUAUUCAGUCGUCUCACAGUCAGUUCAAGCUUGGGUAAACAAUAACAUACCAUAUGUUUGAAGUAUGUGUUUUACCUAUAAGGUACCUCUUGUUCAAUCGUUACUACUUCUGGUUCAACUACUCAGUGAACUUUUACUCCUUCUAGAACUACUAAAACUACCUAAACUAUACCAGGUUCUAGACGAUCCUCUAUAGGUAUCUCGGUGCCAACCCCAACUGCUCGUUCUCUUGGUAUUAGGACGACCUCCAUCGUAAGGCCUCGGGUUACUCAGUAGCUGGUCUAAACUGCCGAACGACUCUUCACGUGUUGCACUCGAUAUGGGCCCGACGUUUCCGGUGAGCCACGAUAGGAAACAAAAUUUCGACCAUGUGGAGUUUCUAGAAUUGGUAACCUCGUUGUUUAGAAAACUGUACAAUGAGUUCGAAGUUUUCCUCCGAAACGGUCGACCAUUGAGCGAAGGUCGGUGCAUGAUACUUCGUUUCUUCUACAACUCUCUAGAUCCCGAUCCAAUACUUUCAUAACUACGAACGUUUUUACUAACACAAGAUAAGACCUUCCUCGUACUCCUGUUCCUACUCACGGGUCAAACAUUCCUUAGCUCCACCUUCUGUGUCUUCCCGUUCCCCUUCGUUCAUGGAGUCUUUCACAACACGAUGAAAGGGAAUUAGGGAUCUAAUGUUACCGACAAGUACUUGUUCCUUUAUCGAAGUCUAAACGCAAUAGUAUCCCUAUUCUCUCAACAGCUUGGUUUACACAACUGCCCAGGAGGCCUACCGCUACGAACCUUUGUAUACCUAUUCUUUAUAGGGACCGACCUUCUUCUGGGAGCGGUAAACGCCGAGCCCCAACCGUGGCUACCAAAGUUGGGUAAACCUUAAUACUCAUCGAGUAUAUCACACACCGGACAGUAACAUCAACACAUAUUGAACGGAGGUACCUCUUCGUACUUUCUCGGGAAGGACGAGUACUGUAAUAACUAGGGACCCUUCUUCAGUGGCCCUUCCCUGUAACUACACAUAAACUCCGGUAACCAACUUCUUGAUUUCGUUAAUAAAUUAGGUCCUCAACAAUGAAAACUGCGACAACUUCCUCCAUGAAAGUUAUACGCACGUUAUAACGAUACCUGAUAGGUGCUGGAAGGUCGUGAUCCAAGUCAUAAACCCAUAAGAUGUUACCCGAUGUUCCGUACGGGGACAAACGGAUCUACCUUGGAUAAGCGUUGGUGAAGCUUCGUUUUAACCAAAGAAUCCGGUAUCCUCCAUGAACGGAUAAGCGGUAUCCACCGCGUUUUCAUUCCGGAAGUUACCAUUCUUACUCUUUCGCAACGGUGGUUUUGUUGAUAGACCCUUUCUGUAAAAACUUAACAACGUCUUCAAUCUAGUAGAGGUCCCGAAGUUUAUGCCUUUUGUGGGACCUUUAUUCUUUUCUUUCCGUAGAAGUUUCCUGUACGGUCCCUUUUUAAAGUGUUUCUACUCGUAGAACAAACUCGAUGGUAUAACCUUCCUAUACUUUAACGGUGUGUUAGAACUACAGUACGUGUAACUUUUCUUGUAAACACUCUCGAAUAAGCCCUGAAAUAAUUUGUAUCUACCGUUCAGGUUCCUGUGUGAAUUCCGGGCGUUCCUGAAUCUUCUGUACUUAUAGUCUCUUCUAGAUGUGAACUUACUAUGCUCUUCAUCGCAUCUUUUCGUAGUACGUACCAUGUGUAAUUGGUCUCUACUCUUUGAACUCAAAGACGUUAAGGAUCUUAGAUAAACGAAGGGUCUACCUAAACGACGUUUAUAUAGUUUUCCAUAUUCAUUUCUACCCUUUUAUUGACCCAACUUCUGUGUGCUGAUGGUAUAAGAAGAAGUCUCUUAUGAGGGCUAACCUUACGCUCCUAAAGACGUGUUUCUAUAUACACUACGUGAAGACGUCGAACCAUCAAAAAAAGCGGUUAAUACGAGGUUCUGUAACUUCGACCUAUAGAACCUAUUCAACCUUGUUGUUUAUCAUUAACACAACACGUUUGAUCUUUACUAAGAGGGUGGACGUAAGAAACUAUAGUCGCACGUGAAUCGUCACGUAGAUGGUGUUGUUCGUUCCGAACCUCCAGGACAUGUUAUGUCUACCUACAAGAAGCAACUUUCCAAGGAACCAUGAAACUUUCCGUACCACUCGUUAUCCCGUGUGGGUCUCCCAAGUUAACGACUUCGAACACAAUACUUCCUCACGAGUUGUAAGACGAGGUACAUAGAUGUACCUUAACUCUGUUCCAAGUUAUCUGUUCUCGCCUUGAAACUACCCCUCUCUGUUGGUGAACUAGCAAAGAGCCAUAAGAGUUGAUCAAAGGCACGAAAACCGGUAUCCCUACUGGAAUACAAUUGUGUUCUAGUCAUACUAAGAAACAGAACCAUACACGAUUUAUUAACACUCCUUGAUGUUCUUAUGGAUAUACUCGUACUCCUACGGGAUGACCAACUUCCACGUCUAUUAUAACUUUUAUCCGUUGCACUUGUCAAACCAAGUACCGACGCGGUUUCUCACUAGUUAGACGCGUUGGUUCCUCGUAGGGAUCACAGACUGACAAACAUACGUAACCGUUAACCUGGCGUAUUCUCUCAUGUGUCUAAGAGUCCUACGUAACGACCACCACAAUCUAAGAACUGUUUCCUCGCACUUCUCCCAGCAUUUUCAGUCUUGUCACCACAUACGUGUCUCCCUGUUGUAUUCCCCGUUUUAUAGUGUAUAAUACCAUAAGAAUUUUUAUAUAUACAGGACCUAAUGGGGUUACUAGCUGUACAACGAAAUAAACUCACACUUACCAUACUAAAUCUCUCAUUGUUCGGACACUCCUAGCUACUGCUGAAACAAUCACAAUUAUGUCCUUCGUUCACCAUGGUUUUACUGAGGAAACAUGAUCGAUCAGUUCACUCGGUUCAGAAGACACAUGCACUAUGUUUUAACUUCCCUCUAACCGAUCAACACGUCUUCCGAGGCGUAGCGGUAGAAAAACUAGGUCUCCAAACCUUAGUUCAGUUACUUCUACUACGAUCGCUACUAUAACGUAAAGUUCUCCUCCUUCGAUGGUUACAAAGGUAUCUACUUUGAAAACUUCCGUUAUAGAGCACAGCUGUACUACAACGUGGUCUUUAACAAUGACUAGGUUUUCUCAACCGUAGAAACUUCCUCUCGGUACAGAGAGUCCUAUUAAGACUUCUCCUUGGUCUCAUCAUCUUAUUAAUACACAACAUAGCCCAAUAUACAGAGUAUAAAGUCCAAUACAAUCUGAUGUACACAGGGCACAGUCCAAUAUAAUCUUAUUACCACAAGAUAAAGUCACAUAUAGUCUGAUAUACAUAGGACAAAGUCCAAUAUAGUCUGAUAUACAUAGAACAAAAUCCAAUAUAAUCUGAUAUAUACAGG